UUUAACGGCCGCGGUAUCCUAACCGUGCAAAGGUAGCGCAAUCAAUUGUCCCAUAAAUCGGGACCUGUAUGAAUGGCUAAACGAGGUCUUAACUGUCUCUUACAGGCAAUCGGUGAAAUUGAUCUCCCUGUGCGAAAGCAGGGAUGCACACAUAAGACGAGAAGACCCUGUGGAACUUCAAAAACAGCAACCACCCCAAAAUACAUCCACCCCCACCCCGGGCUCACUUAUCCCCACGGGCUAUUGGUUUGCAUUUUUUCGGUUGGGGCGACCUUGGAGCAAAACAGAACCUCCAAAGACCAACCCUCUAGACUGAGAGCGACCUCUCAACGUGCUAAUAGCACCCAGACCCAAUAUAAUUGAUCAAUGGACCAAGCUACCCCAGGGAUAACAGCGCAAUCUCCUCCAAGAGUCCAUAUCGACGAGGAGGUUUACGACCUCGAUGUUGGAUCAGGACAUCCUAGUGGUGCAGCCGCUACUAA
rnacentral:rRNA from 1 species